rnacentral:lncRNA from 1 species
GUGUCGAGAAGUAGACAAGGACUCAAUUUCCAUUUUGGGUCGGAAGAACUAGAAAACUCAAAAGAUCGCCACUCUUUUGGUGAGGAAACUAGCAAAGGGAGAAUGUUGCACUAUGUUACCCAAAGAGUGGAUCAAAACUACACUAAAACACAACACAAAAAAGGCAAAUUUUAAUAAGUUGAACGACAAGAUAAUCGAUAAAAAACUAAAGAAAGUUUAAACGGUAAGCAUAAGAAAAACCACGCACCUGGAAUGAAGAGAGAAAAAGGAGAGGACGAAGACAAUGACGUUAUGAGAUAAUACAAUGCAAUGCCGGAAGAGAUAAAAAGUAGAGGUGCACAAGAGAGUAAAAGAAGAGGAGAAGCAGAGAAAAAGGAGAAGAGAUGAAGACGCGAUCAGAAACUGAGUGGUUAGAAGGGUCUGCGGUUAAUUUAAAAUGAAAUUGGGCGUCGGUUGUGCCAGAAACCGACAUCUAUAGACGUCAGUGUUUGAUCGGGAUCCGACGCCUAUUCUUCUUAAAGAAGCUGAAAAGAUUGACGCUUGAUUUCCUGUCAGGGUAGUUCACGUCGGUACCCCUCCUAGCCGACGUCUAAAACCCUCGAAUUUGGUGAAAAUAAUCAAUUACAGGAACGUAGACGUCGCUUACAUUCAGAACCGACGUCUAAAUUGAAGGAUUUUUGUCUUCCCGCCUUCCAGAUAGGCCUUAGACGUCACCAUUUGACUACGUGACGUCUAAGCGCCUGGGAAUUUGGUGAACAACAUUAAUUGUAGUCCAGUCGACGUCGCUUGCUCAGGGGAUCCGACGUCUAUUCCACGUCUAGAGCUGAACCGUUUGACGUUUGAUUUCUUGUC